rnacentral:misc_RNA from 1 species
UUGUUUUGUACCUAUCCUUUAAUUGAAAGUUGCAUUCUCUUUUUAACUUUUUUUUUUUUACCUAUCCUUUGAUUCAAUGUGCUUUUCAUCUUGAGAGAUCUCUUUUACUUGAGUUUUCGACUGCAUGAAUACGUGUCAGACAUAUAUUCCAUGUUGUGUCUCGUGUUGACAUGGUUAUGGCAGGGCAAAAUGAAGAGUUGGAG